CAUUUGCUGCAGGAGCGGGAACGCCUGCGCAAGGCCGGCAUUCUGGCCGGGAGCGGUGACUAGAACCCUGGUUCGAGACCAGGGGGAAAUGA
rnacentral:tRNA from 1 species